rnacentral:tRNA from 2 species
CGGGACGUAGCGCAGCCUGGUAGCGCAUCUGCUUUGGGAGCAGAGGGUCGCUGGUUCGAAUCCAGUCGUCCCGACCA